GCUGUUGCGCCGUGUUGCCUUCUGCUCAGCAACGGGAGAGGGUGUCUUUCCAGCACACCACACCCUCUUCAGUCUUCAAGUGCCAUUGCUUUUAUAUUUUGCAUUCUAACAGGUUGUAAUGGGAUCAAACGUUGACUUCAAGGGUGUGCAUUGGUGAGCACAUUUCCUUUCUUUUACUGGCUUUUUAUGUCUUUUCUUUCAGGAAGUUCCUGUCCGAACGGGUAUCCUCUCAUCCAUUCCUUCCCUCAUCCACCCCUGCAUCCAGGUUCUUAUGUGGUGCUGGGAACACGAUCACUGCACAGGUCUUCUGAUCACACAGCCCCUAAUUUACUCCGAGACCUUUCCCUCAGACCCAGUUGUCCACUCUUUCAUCUUAGUGGGUCUCCAGUUCUUCUACGUGCAGUUCCCUAUCAGGACUUUGUUCUCUGAUCUCCUCACAGUGCACCACCCCCACCGUGUGCUUUACGCAAAGGGUAUUCCUAGGCAGAUGGUUGGACCUGGAGGGCA
rnacentral:lncRNA from 1 species